CGCCCGAGCCGCUGCAAUGCCAAAUUGUUGUGUUGUUGGUUGUGCCAGUAUCAUAUCAUCCUCCUGGGGUUAGUUUUCUCAGAUUCCCAAAGGAUGGAGACCUGGCAAAGCGCCGAGAUGUUGCAAUGCGUCGUGACAAUUUCAAGCCUAUUUUCGCAGCACGAGCAAUGUUUGCUCGCUGCAUUUAUAAUCCAGAGGGACUUGAGAGCUGCGUUUUGACGAGUACGCCGUCCAGGAAAGCCCUCAUCAGUGUACCAGUGCCCUCCGAACCGUGAGCCUCCAGCAAAGCGAACUCAACAAGCUGCAACUGAGAAAGCAGGGCGAGAUACGUUCCAUCAGGAUCAGAAGAGUACAUCACCCCAUCAACUCCGACUGCAGCUAGCUGAUGAACGAUAUUACCCCAGUAACUUUGCGCAUACCAGUACUCAAACUGUGCACAUCUGUCAUCAACUGGGACGCAAACAGACAGAUCCCCAGCAAGUACGAAGGUUACAGAACUGUUUGCUUGCGAUGUGCAGGCAGCAUGCACGACGAACUGUCCCACCAAUCCUGCCAAACUGAACCAGUGUAUAUCACAGUGUCAUGCCAAACUACAUUCUCAAACGCAUUCGUUUCUCAAUUCUGGGGAUGAUUGGACACGCACAUCUCGCAGCUCUUGACGACGUCAAUGUCAACCGUCGCCACAGCACAACCAAAAAGACCGCGAUAGGAAGGUAUAAAGUCCAGUUCUCAAAGCAUAAAGAAGACUGUGGCCAAAUAGAAAAUUAUACGACAGAAAGAGCUAUGAGUAUGUUGACAAGCUCAUGUGUGAGGUGGUAGCGGUUGCAAAUGGCAACCUCAAUGUUCCUGCCUUGGAGAAGCGUGUUUCCCUGCCAAAUUCCAGGUGGAAGCCUCCUGAGAAGGUUGAGGUGGUGCAGGAUUUGGAUAUCUUUGCCUGAUGGUAUUCACAACGCAGGCUGGAAGACGACAACCAACGUGCUUGCCCAAUUUGCCGUGUACAUAGUGUGUACUGCCUGUGUGCCGCAUGGCGUAGAGAUCUACACAAACACAGAAUGUCAUAUGGAAUGUGUAUGAUGAGUGCUUGUACACAUACCACAUUGCUGUACCGUAAUAAUUAUUAUAGUCAAAUACUCAUUUACUCUACAUAUGCGCUGUAUUGCACCUACCGGUACCUACCUGCACUUUCAGUGCGCGCGCCAUACUAAUUUAGUGUCCACUGGUACAAAGAUGGAGGGUCUUGUAGAACUUACCAUAAUUGCUGAUUUCAAAUUGAAUUCCAAUGAUCUGGGGGAUGAAUACUGAUUAGGACGCGUUCGAUUACCUACUAGUACAGAGAUGUCUUGGUCAGAAAGUGCAGAUUUCUUACUCUCCUGCCAGAAUUUGUGCAUUAUUUUGGUGUA